GCUGCAAACUGGCAUUUUCUUAUAGUGUAAACAUUGGUGAAUAAGACUAUAUAUGUAUGUAUUUUAAAAUUUUGUUAUAGGUUGAUGAAAAAUUCAAAAUUUCAAGUUUACUUUCGGCAAAAAUAAAUUACACCAUUUAAAGAAAGUUUCGCAAACUAAAGACAUUAAAGCGAUUAGUGCAAGCCGGUUUUAACAAGGGGCUUAAAUUUGGCAAAAUAUUAAAUUUAAACUAAUAAGAAAAUGCUGGUUGACAACUUGUAAAACAAAAGAAUUCCAUCAAAUUUUUGGCACUUUUAU
rnacentral:lncRNA from 1 species